rnacentral:rRNA from 1 species
GACGAACGCUGGCGGCGUGCUUAACACAUGCAAGUCGAACGGAAAGGCCCUGCUUUUGUGGGGUGCUCGAGUGGCGAACGGGUGAGUAACACGUGAGUAACCUGCCCUUGACUUUGGGAUAACUUCAGGAAACUGGGGCUAAUACCGGAUAGGAGCUCCUGCUGCAUGGUGGGGUUGGAAAGUUUCGGCGGUUGGGGAUGGACUCGCGGCUUAUCAGCUUGUUGGUGGGGUAGUGGCUUACCAAGGCUUUGACGGGUAGCCGGCCUGAGAGGGUGACCGGCCACAUUGGGACUGAGAUACGGCCCAGACUCCUACGGGAGGCAGCAGUGGGGAAUAUUGCACAAUGGGCGGAAGCCUGAUGCAGCAACGCCGCGUGCGGGAUGACGGCCUUCGGGUUGUAAACCGCUUUCGCCUGUGACGAAGCGUGAGUGACGGUACUGGGUAAAGAAGCACCGGCUAACUACGUG